GACGAACGCUGGCGGCGUGCUUAACACAUGCAAGUCGAACGGAAAGGCCCUGCUUGCAGGGUACUCGAGUGGCGAACGGGUGAGUAACACGUGGGUGAUCUGCCCUGCACUUCGGGAUAAGCCUGGGAAACUGGGUCUAAUACCGGAUAGGAGCCAUUUUUAUGGUGAGGGUUGGAAAGUUUUUUCGGUGUAGGAUGAGCUCGCGGCCUAUCAGCUUGUUGGUGGGGUAAUGGCCUACCAAGGCGGCGACGGGUAGCCGGCCUGAGAGGGUGGACGGCCACAUUGGGACUGAGAUACGGCCCAGACUCCUACGGGAGGCAGCAGUGGGGAAUAUUGCACAAUGGGCGCAAGCCUGAUGCAGCGACGCCGCGUGGGGGAUGACGGCCUUCGGGUUGUAAACUCCUUUCGCUAGGGACGAAGCUUUUUGUGACGGUACCUAGAGAAGAAGCACCGGCUAACUACGUG
rnacentral:rRNA from 1 species